GUCACUGCUGCCAACGAAUUUUAAUUCUUCCAUGAGAAAGCAGGUGGCGCAGAUAUUAGUCGGUGCGUGGUUAUCCAUCGCGUUAGAUGGAUCGCGACUACGAGGAGUCGAUAAUAAUGUAUUCGUUAAUAUGCAUUAUUAAAGAACGAUCGAAUUCGGUUGAGAGAGUGUACGUUAAAGUUCAUUGUAAGUCCGAUUGGAAAGACAUACGAGCGACGUAGAAAGAUCGUUCGGUAUAGUUAGUAUGAGUGCAUCCGAGGAACAUUGCUUCUCGUACGGUUCGAAAUGCUAAUGCUCGAUAUAAAGCAAUCGAAAGAAAUAUUCUCACGUGUUAGAAAAACGUAAAGGGUUACGAGAGCAACGUAUCGCCGCGCCAUCUGUCUACGUGUGGAAAAGUAAAAAUUGUAGAGAUAUUGCAUCGCUCGGAUAUAAAGUUGGAGGGCCCUGAAGGCGAAUCCGAUCCUGUUGGUGGUAAGCGACGGCGGUAGUGUGUGUGUAUCUCUCUCUCUCUCUCUCUCUCUUUCUUUCUCUCUCUCUCUUUCUCUUUCUCUUUCUUCUAACCCCCUCUCCUUUCCCCGCUACGUCCCCCGGUUACCCUAGCUUACCCUACCCUACCCUUGGGACGCGCGCCUCCACCAUCCGAAAGGCGAACCAGUCGGGAGAUAUCCCCCCCCACUCUGCGAUACACUCGAGGCAGAUCGUGCGCCGUGUCUCUCGGUGCGGCGCGGUGCGCGGCGUGUGGUGCGGUGCGGUGCGCGGCGCGGCACGGCGCGCCACCACGGAAGUCUGGCAACCUCGCUCGUCAGCUCGACAGUGUCUCGGUCUCGGCGAGUUACUCGGGGAAGCUCUCAGGCCGAGUCUGCUGCCGCGAGAGAGAGAGUUUUCCGUACACCGUAGACCCGGCGCGCGCGCGCGCGGCUACACUCCAGUUCGAGAGUCAGCAAGAGAGAGAGAGAGAGAGAGAGAGAAAGAAAGAGAGAGAGAGAGAGAGAAAGAGAGAGAGAGAGAGA